ACAGGUGUAGCUCAAUGGUAGAGCGUCUGGCUGUUAACCAGAUGGGUGUAGGUUCGAGUCCUACCACCUGUGCCA
rnacentral:tRNA from 1 species